CAGUAGCCGCGGGAAAACGAAGGGGGCUAGCGUUGCUCGGAAUGACUGGGCGUAAAGGGCGCGUAGGCGGCGGCCAAAGUCAGGCGUGAAAUUCCCGGGCUCAACCUGGGGGCUGCGUUUGAUACUUGGUUGCUUGAGUGGGGAAGAGGGUCGUGGAAUUCCCAGUGUAGAGGUGAAAUUCGUAGAUAUUGGGAAGAACACCGGUGGCGAAGGCGGCGACCUGGUCCUUUACUGACGCUGAGGCACGAAAGCGUGGGGAGCAAACAGGAUUAGAUACCCCAGUAGUCCCUGUCUCUUAUAC
rnacentral:rRNA from 1 species